rnacentral:rRNA from 1 species
GGUGGCGCACGGGUGAGUAACGCGUAAAGAACUUGCCUCUUAGACCGGGACAACAUCUGGAAACGGAUGCUAAUACCGGAUAUUAUGGUUUUUUCGCAUGGAGGAAUCAUGAAAGCUAGAUGCGCUAAGAGAGAGCUUUGCGUCCCAUUAGCUGGUUGGUGAGGUAACGGCCCACCAAGGCAAUGAUGGGUAGCCGGCCUGAGAGGGUGAACGGCCACAAGGGGACUGAGACACGGCCCUUACUCCUACGGGAGGCAGCAGUGGGGAAUAUUGGACAAUGGACCGCAAGUCUGAUCCAGCAAUUCUGUGUGCACGAUGACGUUUUUCGGAAUGUAAAGUGCUUUCAGUCGGGAAGAAGUCAGUGACGGUACCGACAGAAGAAGCGACGGCUAAAUACGUGCCAGCAGCCGCGGUAAUACGUAUGUCGCAAGCGUUAUCCGGAUUUAUUGGGCGUAAAGCGCGUCUAGGCGGCAAGGAAAGUCUGAUGUGAAAAUGCGGAGCUCAACUCCGUAUGGCGUUGGAAACUGCCUUACUAGAGUACUGGAGAGGUAGGCGGAACUACAAGUGUAGAGGUGAAAUUCGUAGAUAUUUGUAGGAAUGCCGAUGGGGAAGCCAGCCUACUGGACAGAUACUGACGCUAAAGCGCGAAAGCGUGGGUAGCAAACAGG